rnacentral:ribozyme from 1 species
UGCCUAGCAACUCUUAUCUCUACCUCCUCGCGGUACUGGCCGGGACACGAGUAACCCCAGGGAAGAUCGGGUAACCAACCCCGAUGGGAACUCUGGUCGUAUGCUGAGAGGGAAGG